rnacentral:tRNA from 1 species
GCGCCCGUAGCUCAAUUGGAUAGAGCACCAGCCUCCGGAGCUGGUUGUUACAGGUUCAAGUCCUGUCGGGCGUA